CGCUGGCGGCAUGCCUAAUACAUGCAAGUCGAGCGAAUGAUGAAGAAGCUUGCUUCUCUAAUUAGCGGCGGACGGGUGAGUAACACGUGGGCAACCUACCCUAUAGAUUGGGAUAACACAGGGAAACCUGUGCUAAUACCGAAUAAUACCUUUCUCUUCAUGGAGGAUGGUUGAAAGAUGGUUUCGGCUAUCACUAUAGGAUGGGCCCGCGGCGCAUUAGCUAGUUGGUGAGGUAAUGGCUCACCAAGGCAACGAUGCGUAGCCGACCUGAGAGGGUGAUCGGCCACACUGGGACUGAGACACGGCCCAGACUCCUACGGGAGGCAGCAGUAGGGAAUCUUCCACAAUGGGCGAAAGCCUGAUGGAGCAAUGCCCGCGUGAGUGAUGAAGGAUUUCGGUUCGUAAAACUCUGUUGUAAGGGAAGAACAAGUAGCGUAGUAACUGGCGUUACCUUGACGGUACCUUAUUAGAAAGCCACGGCUAACUACGUGCCAGCCGCCGC
rnacentral:rRNA from 1 species